GGCCUGUAGCUAUGGUCGGAAUAUAUCACUCUGGAACCUGCCUGCUUCAGAGUGCAUAUCAAAGAUUCCAACGCGUGCUUCUGUACAGGACAUGUUAUUUGACAACAAUCAAAUAUUGGCAAUCGGUGCGGAUCCUCUACUUAAUCGAUUUGACAUGAACGGUGUGAUCCUUUCACAAAUACAGUGCGCUCCUCCGUCAUCCUUCUCUAUCUCCUUGCAUCCAUCAGGGAUCAUGGCAGC